AACUUUCGGCAAUGGAUCUCGUGGCUCUCGCAUCGAUGAAGAACGCAGCGAAAUGCGAUACGUAAUGUGAAUUGCAGAAUUCAGUGAAUCAUCGAAUCUUUGAACGCACCUUGCGCUCCUUGGUAUUCCGAGGAGCAUGCCUGUUUGAGUGUCAUUAAUAUAUAUAUCAAACUUCUCUUGUUGAGUGGUUUGGAUGUGGGGGUUUGCUGGUCUCUUAAAAGAGUUCAGCUCCCCUGAAAUGCAUUAGCAGAACAAACCUGUUCAUUGGUGUGAUAACUAUCUACGCUAUUGAAUGUGAGGGGCAGUUCAGCUUUCUAACAGUCCUUGGACAAUUCAUCAUUAAUGUGACCUCAAAUCAGGUAGGACUACCCGCUGAACUUAAGCAUAUCAAUAAGCGGAGGCU
rnacentral:misc_RNA from 1 species